GACCGCUGCGGUGGCCUAGUGGUUAGAGCGUCCGUCUCGGGUUCUUGGAAGUCAUGGGUUCGAUCCCCAGUCGAGUCA